rnacentral:rRNA from 1 species
GAUGAACGCUGGCGGCGUGCCUAAUACAUGCAAGUCGAGCGAACGGACGAGAAGCUUGUUUCUCUGAUGUUAGCGGCGGACGGGUGAGUAACACGUGGAUAACCUACCUAUAAGACUGGGAUAACUUCGGGAAACCGGAGCUAAUACCGGAUAAUAUUUUGAACCGCAUGGUUCAAAAGUGAAAGACGGUCUUGCUGUCACUUAUAGAUGGAUCCGCGCUGCAUUAGCUAGUUGGUAAGGUAACGGCUUACCAAGGCAACGAUGCAUAGCCGACCUCAGUGGGUGGUAGGCGACACGAGAACUGAGACACGGUCCAGACUCCUACGGGAGGCAGCAGUAGGGAAUCUUCCGCAAUGGGCGAGAGCCUGACGGAGCAACGCCGCGUGAGUGAUGAAGGUCUUCGGAUCGUAAAACUCUGUUAUUAGGGAAGAACAUAUGUGUAAGUAACUGUGCACAGCUUGACGGUACCUAAUCAGAAAGCCACGGCUAACUACGUG